ACGAACGCUGGCGGCGUGCCUAAUACAUGCAAGUCGAGCGAGGAUCCCUUCGGGGUGCUAGCGGCGGAUGGGUGAGUAACACGUGGGCAAUCUGCCCUAAAGACUGGGAUACCACUUGGAAACAGGUGCUAAUACCGGAUAACAACAUGAUCGCAUGAUUCAAGUUGAAAGGCGGCAAUGUCACUUUAGGAUGAGCCCGCGGCGCAUUAGCUAGUUGGUUGGGUAAAGGCCUACCAAGGCAAUGAUGCGUAGCCGAGUUGGGAGACUGAUCGGCCACAUUGGGACUGAGACACGGCCCAAACUCCUACGGGAGGCAGCAGUAGGGAAUCUUCCACAAUGGACGCAAGUCUGAUGGAGCAACGCCGCGUGAGUGAAGAAGGUCUUCGGAUCGUAAAGCUCUGUUGUUGGUGAAGAAGGAUAGAGGCGUAAGUCUUUAUUUGACGGUAAUCAACCAGAAAGUCACGGCUAACUACGUGCCAGCAGCCGCGGUAAUACGUAGGUGGCAAGCGUUGUCCGGAUUUAUUGGGCGUAAAGCGAGCGCACGCGGAAUGAUAAGUCUGAUGUGAAAGCCCACGGCUCAACCGUGGAACUGCAUCGGAACUGUCAUUCUUGAGUGCAGGAGAGGAGAGUGGAACUCCAUGUGUAGCGGUGGAAUGCGUAGAUAUAUGGAAGAACACCAGUGGCGAAGGCGGCUCUCUGGUCUGCAACUGACGCUGAGGCUCGAAAGCAUGGGUAGCGAACAGGAUUAGAUACCCUGGUAGUCCAUGCCGUAAACGAUGAGCGCUAGGUGUUGGGGACUUUCCGUCCUCAGUGCCGCAGCAAACGCAUUAAGCGCUCCGCCUGGGGAGUACGACCGCAAGGUUGAAACUCAAAGGAAUUGACGGGGGCCCGCACAAGCGGUGGAGCAUGUGGUUUAAUUCGAAGCAACGCGAAGAACCUUACCAGGUCUCGACAUCCAGUGCAAACCUAAGAGAUUAGGAGUUCCCUUCGGGGACGCUGAGACAGGUGGUGCAUGGCUGUCGUCAGCUCGUGUCGUGAGAUGUUGGGUUAAGUCCCGCAACGAGCGCAACCCUUGUCAUUAGUUGCCAUCAUUAAGUUGGGCACUCUAAUGAGACUGCCGGUGACAAACCGGAGGAAGGUGGGGAUGACGUCAAGUCAUCAUGCCCCUUAUGACCUGGGCUACACACGUGCUACAAUGGACGGUACAACGAGAAGCGAACCUGCGAAGGCAAGCGGAUCUCUGAAAGCCGUUCUCAGUUCGGACUGUAGGCUGCAACUCGCCUACACGAAGCUGGAAUCGCUAGUAAUCGCGGAUCAGCACGCCGCGGUGAAUACGUUCCCGGGCCUUGCACACACCGCC
rnacentral:rRNA from 2 species